rnacentral:rRNA from 1 species
ACUCCUACGGGAGGCAGCAGUGGGGAAUAUUGCACAAUGGGCGGCAAGCCUGAUGCAGCAACGCCGUGUGAGUGAAGAAGGUUUUCGGAUCGUAAAACUCUGUCCUAAGGGAAGAAAAAAAUAGACGGUACCUUAGGAGGAAGCCCGGCUAACUACGUGCCAGCAGCCGCGGUAAUACGUAGGGGCGAAGCGUUAUCCGGAAUCACUGGGGCGUAAAGGGUGCGUAGGCGGCUUAGCAAGCCAGGGGUGAAAGGCAUUGGCUCAACCAAUGUAAGCCUUUGGAACUGUUAAGCUUGAGUGCAGGAGAGGUAAGUGGAAUUCCUAGUGUAGAGGUGAAAUUCGUAGAUAUUAGGAGGAACACCAGUGGCGAAGGCGACUUACUGGACUGUAACUGACGCUGAUGCACGAAAGCGUGGGUAGCGAACAGGAUUAGAUACCCUGGUAGGUCAGUC